rnacentral:lncRNA from 1 species
UGGGGGGUUUUCAAUGAAAUCCAAUCUCUAGAACUAUACAAUACACCAACCACACCGUUUCAUAACGAACUUUGUACGAACCUGAAUUGUCCAAUUUCAUGGACCAGUUGAUAUCAGAUUGAGCCCAAAACUUGGGGAACAUCAUAAGAUGGUGGGAGGAGUCAUUUAAGGAGUUGUGUGAGAAAUCCAAUGGCUAAAACUAUGAAAUAAAC